rnacentral:misc_RNA from 1 species
GACGUAGGGCGCGAGCGUUGUCCGGAUUUAUUGGGCGUAAAGAGCUCGUAGGCGGCUUGUUACGUCGACUGUGAAAACCCGCGGCUCAACUGCGGGCCUGCAGUCGAUACGGGCAGGCUAGAGUUCGGUAGGGGAGACUGGAAUUCCUGGUGUAGCGGUGAAAUGCGCAGAUAUCAGGAGGAACACCGGUGGCGAAGGCGGCUUACUGGCUCAUACUGGACGCUGAGGUGCGAAAGCGUGGGGAGCAAACAGG